rnacentral:rRNA from 1 species
AUGACGACGGCUCUAUCCACCGUGCUGGCGGCGGCGGCCUUGAUCCUGAGCGCCCGCACCGUCAACGCGGCGGUGGCGGACACGUGCAAGGCGGCCGCGGCCAGUGACGUGCGCGUCAACGUGGAGCUGUGCAUGUCAAAGCUCGGCAGCCACCGCGACAGCCUCGAGGCGGCGGACGCCCGGGGCCUGGCCAAGGUGGCCUCGCUCGUCGGCGUCGACAACGCCAACCUCGCCGCCGCCGACGUCAAGGCCCAGGAGGCCGCCGACCCCAAUGUGCGCAUGAAGCCGGCGCUCGCCAAGUGCGCCACGCUCUACAAGGACGUGGGCAUGUGCUUCGCCAACGCGCACGACCAGAUCAACAACCACGCCUACCCCGCGGCCAAGCAGAGGCUCGACGAGGCCCUGGCGCAGACGCAGCUGUGCAACGCCGCGUUCGCGACCGCCGGCGUGACCCUGCCUCAGCCGCUGGCCCUGCACACCGUCGACUGCAUCCAGAUCGCCAUCAUCGCCGGCGCCAUCACCAACCUCAUCAAGUGA